rnacentral:lncRNA from 1 species
CUUCACCCUUUUCAAUUUCUCACCCCAAGUUACACGCUCAAUUUCAAAGAUUGAGCUCUAGCUCCUUCCUUCAAAUCGUCGCCGAGUCUCCCCUUUUGCAGCAGAUCCGCCGCCGCGGUUCCCUUUCCGGCGAAAUCUGCAUCAAGUCGUUGGAUUACCGGCGAGGCCGCAGCCGGCAACUAGCGCUGCUCCCUUCGUCUCUGACUUCCUCUUUUUUUUUUUCCUCCCUUCCCUCUCUAUCUCUGAUCGUGCUCUCUCCUCUCAAUUUGCACGACCUCAGCCGUGCAUCCUCCUCAACAGGCUCUGCCAUGGCCGAGUCCGGUGAGGUUGGCGUCGGCGUCAGCCCUUGCCCAAAACUCUCUCAUCUUCCGUGUUUCUUCUCUGAAAUUUCAACUCCAGAUUAUACCCCCAAAUCGAACCCUAAUUCUUUCAUCAUGGACUACCACCGCUGCUGUCCUCUUCGGUGUAGACGGGCUCGAUGCCUCAUCGCGCCGCUGUUGUUAUAGUCAGAUUCCAGCGAGGCAGCAAGGGAUCGCCGCCGUCAUUCCCUCGGCUCGACUGAACAGGUACAUCGAUCUAGUCCCACUUCCUUUUCUUCUGCUCAAGUUCACUUAUCAAAUCUACGUUGAGUCUUGGUUCUCUAUACUAUAUGUGCAACGGAUUAAUGGCGUUGUGGUGUUGCUACUGUGUUAGCCUUUGAUUUCUAGAUUACAGUGGAAAUUAUAGACGCAUAGGACAUUCUACAUGACAUGGGUAAUCUAUAUUACUGAUACGUCAUUACGCAUAUACGACUCAAUUCUAUAUUCUGACUUAACAAAUAGAAGCAUGCUUUGUUGGUGUUAAACAUGGACUGAAUAACUGAGAUUAGCAAUUACCUUGUGUGUUUUGGUGUGUUGGGCUUGGUUGGCUGCUGUGCUAAUGAAUUCAGGAGUGUGAAUAAACUGAAACAUAAUUGUGGAUUUUGCUUAACCAUUUCAGGCUGAACUCAAGAAGAAAAUGGAGAAGUUUAAGUUGAGCUUACCUCUUGGGGUCCAGAUUGCAGCUGAAAUAAACUCUCUAUGAUUUUUGGUGCAUAAAGGAAGAAGGGAGAAUCGUAGCUGGUGAUUUAAAGGGUGGAGUUUUUGGCUGAUUAGGUGGACUUCCAUGUGAGACUUUGAAAAGUGGAGUAUGCAUAGAGUGCGGCUGAAAGACCUCCUAGUUGUACCUUAGCAUGGCUUCAAAUAUUAAAUUGUGGCUUUUGCAGGGAAAAGAGCAUGGCCUUAGCAGAGUUAAAGAAAAGGAGCUGAUAUGCGUGUACUAUGCAUAUUUUAUUUCUUGAUUUUGUAUACUAUGUUGAUGUAGGAGACCCUAGGGCGUGGAAAGAAUAAUGAUGAUCGUAAAAUAAACAGAAUUGAGAUGACUAAUAAAAAAAAUCAUCUGGCUUGAUUAAUAUUAAUUAAUCAAGUAUUUGUGAAACUAA